AAUGGCGUUCAACAAAAACUAUGUGACACGGCUGCCGGGUCAAGCGCCAUACGAUUACAUGACACGCCUCCUGUGUCUUCAGCCAUGUGGAAAAGAAUACAGUAUUUCAACCAGUUUUUACAUGUUUUAGGCUUACAUACUUUUAGUUGACAUUCGAAAUCUAACGCGAACAUACAGAAACGUUGUUUCAAGUGAUUAUAAGUGGCAUAACAAGUGUAUUUUUGAAAAUGGAAGGUAAGUGACAUUUCUAAUGAAGGUGUGCAAAACCUUUUGAACUUAUUUUUAAGUCCUAAUGGUUUGAAUAGUUUUAUAGGAAUGUGGGCUUGACUAAAUGAGGUUUUAAGUUAGUUCUGUAAUUAUUGUUUUGGUUUUGCUCACAAGAAAUUUCAACUUAUUUACACUACGUAAUGAUAAACUGUCAAGUUUGAUUUAGUACUUAAUAGGUAUAUAUUUAUUAAAAAUACUAGCUUUUUUCCCGCAAUUCGCCCGCGUUCAAAUUAAUACAUUGUCUAAGCUUAAGUUGAUUGUACUAUUCCCGUUCAGAAUUUCAUCCAAAUCAGUUCAGCCGUUUCAGCGUGAUUGAGAACAAACAUCCAAAUUCACAAAAUUACAAGCAUGAUAACUUCCGCAUUUAUAAUACUACUAGUAUGGUUGUCAUAUGAUACAUUAAGUCAUUAAGACGACUAGUGCAGCGAAACUAGCGCCACUCGUCUAUAAAUUCCGUAUCAUAUUUUAAAAAUCUAAUCCCAUAGUGUCAUAGUAAAUAACACAUAGUAUUUUUCGCAGUUUCAUAUUUUUUCCUUUCAAAACCGCCGAGGGAAAUUGAUUACCGCCAAAAGUGGCCACUUUCGGCGGUAAUCAAUUUUUCUCUGAAUUUACCAAAGGAAAAAUUAUCAAACUUAUAUAAUUACGGCGAAAAAGAAAGUACAUUCCCGAGACAGAAACUGAAACUCAGUGCGAAUCUGAUGACGAAAUUUUCGAGCCAAAUUCGCAAAAGUAUUUACUACACAGGGACAACUUCGAAUUUACACAAAAUAUAAAAACAAAGGAUAUUUUUAUGUGCCCAGAAAAAAAUAUGGUACAUAGUGCAACAUGUACAGAAAAAGUAAUGGUGGAUAGAGCAAUUUGCACAGAAAAUACAAUGGCGGGCAGUGCAAAGGAUAUAGAAAAAAAUAAGGAAGAUGAGGAUCAGGUCCCAACUAUCUUGGACAUCCAUGGAUGUAAAUAUUUUGGCCAGUUGGUUUCAAAUGAAUUGCUGCGCUUCAAGCCAUAUGACAGAAAUAUAAAAAUGCAGCAAAUUUUGGAUAUGAUAAGAAAAUAAUUUUAGUAAGUAGGUACAAUAUAAAAAAAAUUAGAAAAGAGUUUUUAAUGAAACUAGGUUUUAAAUGAAAACCAUAUAUUUAAAAAAAGUUACAUAUGCCGGUUCGAUCAAUUUGAGCGGGAAAUUUAAGUACACAAUAAUAUUUCCAAGUAUUUUUGCAUUUGGCGAACUGAAAUACAUAGAUCAAUGUAGUUUUCGUUCAGUAACAGACAUUUUUGCAGUAACCUAAAUGAAACCGUAUACAAUUGAGUUAUGGUCAAUAUUUUUAACACUAUCCCGCCAUCCCGCUCAAUGCAAAUCGGAUCAUCUUAAUCUUUUCUACUGACAUUGUUCUUAAAUUAUAAGACUGAUUGUAUAUCAUUUAAAGGAGACUGGAGACUGAUAUUUUAAGUAAAGUGCCAGAUUGAUUUUUAUGAUUAAGAAGUUUUUUUUUUAAUCAGUACCUAUUCAGUUUUUAAUCAAUAUCCUUUACAAAAAAAAAAUGGUGUUUCACAAAUUUUGCUCUAUUAUUAUUGACCAUUUCUUAUAAAAGUAAACUGAACAUGUGAUUACAAAAAUAGUUCAGAAGUCCGUAGACAAUCAGUAUGUACUGUCAGUAGUAUUUUUAAAAUAAGUACCUGACUGAUCGUAUUUUUUUUUAAUUAAACUUUUAAAUUUGAAAAUCAGCAAAAUCAAAUUAUAGUGAGUAGCCUCUUGCCAAUCAAGUUAAGUAUUAUAAAAACCUAAAAAAUCUUCUAUAACACAAUUUGUAAUUUUUAACAAUCACAAUACAGUAUGCUAAUAUUUGUGAAAUUCUCUAAAACAUUUAUCAAUACAUAGACCCGGAAAUCCGGGGCAAUCAGGACAGCCAAAUAAAACAGAAACUCUUUUUUUGGUUUUCAAAUAACACACUCUGCAUCUUUUUCUUAGGGUAUUGCCAUUUUUCUUUGGCAAGUUGGCAGGUAAAUGUAUUUUUCCUUCUGAUAGAGACCGAGAAAGUUCUGUUCUAUUUGGCAUUGGCAGUAAUUUCUCCAUUAUGUCCAUUCUAAAUUUGUACAAAGUUGUUUCAUUUCCUUUGUUUCUUGCGUUAAAAAGCAAAAAGCCAUUUACUAGACAUAUUUGUAUUAUAUGUAUAAUAACUUUUUUGUACCAGCGCAGGGUCUUAUGCUCACAGCAAUAAUAACUUAACAUCUGAUCAUGUCGGUCUAUUGCCCGCAUGUAUUUAUUAUAUUUUAUUUGUACGGCCGGUUUGUAUUUGACGGUGCGUACACGGCGACUAGUAGUCGCUUUAUAUUGACUUGUGUGUUCCGAACUUAUGAACAAUAUCUCCCGUUUAUCUUGCCAUUUGGUUACUACAAUUUUUUUCCAGUUGUGUACUAUACACGAUUCUCCUGGUUUUAAUUUUAUAUUUUUUACUACCGUUGGAUUACCAAUACGGUUUGCUCUUAAGGUACCAGUUACGUAUGUAUUUUUACACAAUAACUCCUCAGAUAACCCCACGCUGGUAUAAAAGUUAUCUAAAUAUAAGGAAUGUCCCUUUUCAAUAUAUUUUUUCAUAAGAAGAUGUACAACUUUUUUAAUAUGAUUUUUACCGCCUACUUGUGUAUCUUGAGACCCUGCGUACACGUGAAUUUUUAAAAUAAUUCCGUUAGCGUCGGCUAAAAUGUACAACUUGAUGCCGUAUCUAUGGGCUUUACCUGUAAUAUAUUGACGAAAACGAAGUCUUCCUUUCCAUAAAAUAAGAGAUUCAUCAAUAGUUAAUUCUCUCAAUGGAUAAUAUACCGAAUCAAUCGUGUCAUUGAACAAAUCAAUUAACGACUUUAUUUUAAAUAUACUUUGGGUUCUCUCAUUAUUUUGCACGUUUAAAGCUCUUAAAAUUAAAAAAAAUCUAUCUCUCGACAUAAAUUGACGUACACAUAGACGAAACAAAUAAUGAGUUGACCAAUAGUCUGUUAGUCUAUUUAGCUUAAUUGUCCCCAUCAGCAACAGUAGACCGAGAAAAGUUUUGAAUUCGGCUACACUUACAUCAGUCCACUUGCGAAAACGAGCGCGUGGAGUAGUCGCUGUUGCUUUUAGUUUGUUACCGUACUUAUUAGUACACUCCAGAAUUAAAUUUAUAAAGUGAGAAUUAAAGAAUAAAAAGAAAUAGUCCAAAGGACUUUUGACGUUUACAUCAUGUGGCGGCAACAUACCACUUGUCCCUGUAAAGAUUAUAUUGGACAUAUUUGUAGGAUUACCCGGAUACCACCCGGUCGUCUCUUCUGGAGAAGUAUCUUCUUCCUCUUCGGCCUGUUGAUUUUCGUAAGAAUUGCUAAUAUUUGUUUCUUCGUUCGGAUCUGCACUAUUAAGUUCAUCCAAUGUGUCGUCGUUAUUGCCGGUCAAAAUCCCUUAUAGUUCUUCGUCACCAAUAAAAUCUAAGCCUUCCAUAUCGUAUAAUGGCAUAGUUUCUUGUGGAGACAUCAUUCUUCCUAAUUCUACGGUUAAGGGAUCUAAUGCGGUUGGUGUACCGAAUUGCGGCGAACUCCGAGCUUCCAAAGGGUCUAUAGCGGAUGAUGGUCCAGGUGUUGGUGAACUUGGAAGAAUCAUAUAUGGAUUCAAAGGAUCCAGUGAAGUUAAUGUACCGAAUUGCGGCGAACUGCAAGCUUCCAAAGGAUCUAUAGCUGAUGAUGGUCCAGGUGUUGGUGAACUUGGAAGAAUCAUAUACGGAUUCAAAGGAUCCAGAGAAGUUGAUGUACCGAAUUGCGGCGAACUGCAAGCUUCCAAAGGAUUUAUACCCGAUGAUGGUCCAGGUUUUGGCGAACUUGGCAGAUUAAUACUUGGAUUCAAAGGAUCCAUGGCGGAUGGCGGCUCCGAAGAGUUCGAAAAGACUUAAAGUUUUAAUCCAAAUCAUUCUGUUUUAAUCCAAUAAAAAAAAAAAAAUAAUAUUAAGUAUAUAACAUAUAACAUUUAAGUUUUUACCUAUGUUAAUAAGAAGAAUGUGAUAAGUUAAAGUGAUUUAGUUUAUUUAGUUUAUUUAUGUUCGCGGCUAAGGGGUGGCCCAAGGGCCGCCGCACCUUAACCUAUACUAGUGUUUUUAAGUAAUUUAAAGUGAAAAUACUUAUUGAAAUGUUAAUGUCUUACAUUUUCAGGUUCAGGAAACCAUCAACAAAAUUCUCUCGUUUUCUCGUUAGAAAAUCUUAUGAAAAAACUUAUUCAAAUUUUAGCCACUUAUAAGGGUUUAAAAUAGAGUUAGAAUAGAAUUUAUGAACUAAAUAAAUUAUAAUAAACUAUGAUUAUGACUAUAACUGUUAUGACAAACCCAUUAUGAUAUACUAUUUUACAGCAAAACUCAUUAUUAUAAACUAACAUUAUGCCUACACAAGCAUUAUAGCAAUAAACUUUAUGUGAAUCAAUUAUUAUGUUAGAAAAAUUAUGAGAAAGGCCUUAUGACAAACCAUAUUAUGAUAAAUUUAAUCAUGAGAACAAACAGGAUCCCUCCAUUGGAUACAUAGAUAGGUACUCUUUUGAACAAAGUUUACUCUGUUCAAAAGAGUACCUACCUUAUAGUGUGCUCUUAUAGGAGUUCAAAAGAGUACCAAUAAGAGUAACUUACCCAAUAAGUUACCAUGAAGUUUACGGCAAGCAGAGAUUUAUGUACACAGGCUGAGUCGUCACAUUGGCAGAUCACGGAGUCCAGUUAUACAAGCAGCAGUCGUUUUUUUACGAAGAUCAGUGCACAGUAACACAGUCCUCACAACACAAAUGUCGAAAGCCCAGAUAUACGAUCUCAAUGUCAUCGAUACGCACGCAGAUCUGAUCACCAAGGAUAGCAAAACAGAACUAA